UACAGAGGUCUCAAGCGUUUGUUCGGAUUCAUUGGGCGUAAAGGGUGUGUAGGUGGCGCGCUAAGUCGGGUGUGAAAUUUCGGAGCUUAACUCCGAAACUGCAUUCGAUACUGGCGUGCUUGAGGACUGGAGAGGAGACUGGAAUUCAUGGUGUAGCAGUGAAAUGCGUAGAGAUCAUGAGGAAGACCAGUGGCGAAGGCGGGUCUCUGGACAGUUCCUGACACUGAGACACGAAGGCUAGGGGAGCAAACGGG
rnacentral:rRNA from 1 species